UACGAAGGGAGCUAGCGUUGUUCGGAAUCACUGGGCGUAAAGCGCACGUAGGCGGAUGUGUCAGUCAGGGGUGAAAUCCCGGAGCUCAACCUCGGAACUGCCUUUGAUACUGCAAGUCUCGAGUCCGAUAGAGGUGAGUGGAAUUCCUAGUGUAGAGGUGAAAAUUCGUAGAUAUUAGGAAGAACACCAGGUGGCGAAGGCGGCUCACUGGAUCGGUACGUGACGCUGAGGUGACGAAAGCGUGGGGAGCAAAGCAGGAGU
rnacentral:rRNA from 1 species